AGUCUGCAACCCGACUCCACGAAGCUGGAUUCGCUAGUAAUCGCGCAUCAGCCAUGGCGCGGUGAAUACGUUCCCGGGCCUUGUACACACCGCCCGUCAAGCCAUGAAAGCCGGGGGUGCCUGAAGUCCGUGACCGCGAGGGUCGGCCUAGGGUAAAACUGGUGAUUGGGGCUAAGUCGUAACAAGGUAAC
rnacentral:rRNA from 1 species